CCUACGGGAGGCAGCAGUAAGGAAUAUUGGUCAAUGGGCGCAAGCCUGAACCAGCCAUGCCGCGUGCAGGAAGACGGCCCUAUGGGUUGUAAACUGCUUUUGAACAAGAGAAAACCUCGGUACGUGUACCGAGCUGAUAGUAUUGUUAGAAUAAGCAUCGGCUAACUUCGUGCCAGCAGCCGCGGUAAGACGAAGGAUGCAAGCGUUAUCCGGAUUCAUUGGGUUUAAAGGGUGCGUAGGCGGCCUGAUAAGUCAGUGGUGAAAUCUCUCAGCUUAACUGAGAAACUGCCAUUGAUACUGUCGGGCUUGAGUACAGAUGAUGUGGGCGGAAUAUGACAUGUAGUGGUGAAAUACUUAGAUAUGUCAUAGAACACCGAUUGCGAAGGCAGCUCACAAAACUGUAACUGACGCUGAGGCACGAAAGUGCGGGGGAUCAAACAGGAUUAGAUACCCUGGUAGUCCGCACCGUAAACGAUGAUUACUCGUUGUUGGCAAUAUGACCGUCAGCGACCAAGCGAAAGCGAUAAGAAUCCACCUGGGGAGUACGCCGGCAACGGUGAAACGUCAAAUGAAUUGACGGCGNGAGAGNGCGACGGACGACGACGAGGGAGGAGG
rnacentral:rRNA from 1 species